rnacentral:pre_miRNA from 1 species
AGUGGGAUAACUGGGUCAAAUGGUGGUUCCAUAUCAAUUUUCUGAGGAAUCUCCAUACUGCUUUCCAGAGUGGUUGUAUCAAUUUGCAGUCCCACCAGCAAU